GUUGGGCCUGCUCGGUGAGAAGAAAAAUUUAACAGCUGCGGUAUUAUAACUGUACUAAGGUAGCAUAAUAAUUUGCCUUAUAAAUUAAGGCUAGAAUGAAUGGUUUGACGAAAAUUAGACUGUCUUUAUUUUAUUUGUUAGAAAUUAAUUUUUAUAGUGAAAAAGCUUGAAUAAUUUAAGGGGACGAGAAGACCCUAUUGAGCUUUAUUUAUUAAUAUUUAAAUAUAAAUAUAUAAUUUAUAUUAUGAAAAUUAUGUUGUAUAUAUAUAUAUAUUUAAUUGGAUUUAAUUUUGAUUGGGGUGAUCAAGGAAUAAAAGAUAAAGUAACUUCCUUAAAAUUAAUAAUUGUUUUUAUAGAGUAAUAAACCAAGUUUUUUGCUUAUAAGAUAAGUUACCAUAGGGGUAACAGCGUAAUUUUUUUUGAGAGUUCAUAUUGAAAAAAGAGAUUGCGACCUCGAUGUUGGAUUAAAAAUUACCUUAAGG
rnacentral:rRNA from 1 species